CGGCUGUGGAUUGGGCUAGUACU
rnacentral:miRNA from 1 species